AUGGCUGUCUCCGAGGAAAAGGCGCAGGGAUGCCGCAGCGGCGCGGCCGCCGGCAAGGCCGCCUCUCCCGUGAAGCCCAACAGCGGCGCUGUGAUGGAGGAGAUCACGGAUUCCCCGUCCACCACCGCUAAGGCCUCGUCCAAAGGUAUAUACGGAAUCCCAAUCAUGACGAGGGCCCAGAGAAGCCACCCUUUAGACCCAUUAUCUGCUGCUGAAAUUGCUGUGGCUGUAGCAACUGGUAGAGCUGCUGGAAGAACUCCUGAAGUACGAGACAGCAUGCGUUUUGUUGAAGUUGUGCUCCUGGAGCCAGAAAAGAAUGUUGUGGCAUUAGCUGAUGCAUACUUCUUUCCACCAUUCCAACCAUCCCUGCUUCCCAGAACCAAAGGUGGUCCUGUCAUCCCAAGCAGGCUCCCACCUAGGAGGGCCAGACUUGUUGUCUACAACAAGCAAACAAACGAGACUAGCAUUUGGGUUGUAGAACUCUCUGAAGUGCAUGCUGCUACUAGGGGUGGGCACCACAGAGGCAAGGUUAUAUCAUCAGAAGUUGUUCCAGAUGUUCAGCCUGCAAUGGACGCGAUGGAAUAUGCUGAAUGUGAAGCUACAGUAAAAGAUUUCCCCCCUUUUAUUGAAGCCAUAAAGAAAAGAGGCAUUGAUGACAUGGAGCUUGUCAUGGUAGAUGCAUGGUGUGCAGGCUAUUAUAGUGAUGCUGAUGCUCCCAACCGAAGACUUGGCAAGCCUCUAAUCUUUUGUAGAACUGAAAGUGAUAGCCCUAUGGAGAAUGGCUAUGCUCGUCCUGUUGAAGGGAUCCAUGUUAUUGUUGAUAUGCAGAAUAAUGUUGUAAUAGAAUUCGAAGAUAGGAAGUUUGUCCCUCUUCCCCCACCAGAUCAUUUGAGAAACUACACUCCUGGGGAGACACGAGGUGGUGUCGAUAGAAGCGAUGUGAAGCCUCUUAUUAUCAGUCAACCUGAAGGCCCAAGUUUCCGUAUUACUGGCUCUUUUGUGGAGUGGCAGAAGUGGAAUUUCCGUGUUGGCUUCACACCCAAGGAAGGUCUAGUUAUCCAUUCUGUUGCAUAUGUUGAUGGAAACCGUGGACGUCGUCCAAUCGCUCACAGGCUGAGUUUUGUUGAAAUGGUUGUUCCUUAUGGAGAUCCGAACGAACCACAUUACCGGAAGAAUGCAUUUGAUGCUGGAGAAGAUGGGCUUGGAAAGAAUGCACACUCUCUUAAGAAGGGAUGUGAUUGCUUGGGAUACAUAAAAUACUUUGAUGCACAUUUUACGAAUUUUACUGGUGGUGUGGAGACAAUUGAGAAUUGUGUUUGUUUACAUGAGGAGGACCAUGGAAUCCUCUGGAAACAUCAAGAUUGGAGAACAGGAUUAGCUGAAGUUAGACGAUCACGCAGGCUUACUGUCUCCUUUAUAUGCACAAUUGCUAACUACGAAUAUGGAUUCUAUUGGCACUUUUAUCAAGAUGGUAAGAUAGAAUCUGAAGUAAAGCUUACUGGGAUUCUAAGCUUGGGAGCUCUAAUGCCUGGGGAACAAAGGAAAUAUGGCACAACUAUUGCUCCUAGUUUGUAUGCACCGGUUCAUCAACAUUUCUUUGUUGCCCGUAUGGACAUGGCAGUGGACUGCAAACCAAAUGAAGCUUAUAAUCAGGUGGUUGAGGUAAAUGUGAAAGUUGAAAGUUCAGGCCCAAAUAAUAUGCAUAAUAAUGCCUUCUACGCCGAAGAAGAGCUUCUGCAAUCUGAGUUACAGGCAAUGCGUGAUUGUGACCCUUCAUCUGCACGACAUUGGAUUGUAAGGAACACAAGGACAGUAAAUCGUACUGGGCAGCCAACAGGUUACAAGCUCAUACCUGGUUCAAAUUGUCUGCCAUUCUGCCUGCCAGAGGCAAAGUUCCUGAGAAGAGCUGGAUUUCUAAAGCAUAAUCUUUUUUUUUUUUUGAAACCUAAAGCAUAA
rnacentral:rRNA from 1 species